ACCUCAUGAUUUUGGCAUUGCAUUAAAUUAUCAUUGAAACAUUGCCAAACUUCAUACAAUGUUUCACCAUUAAGUUUGCGAAUAUUGGUGAUUUCGUCCCUUAGUU